rnacentral:misc_RNA from 1 species
GUGAGGCCUUCUGACUGGCGCCGCUACUCUGGCAACAGAGCGGCGGAUGUCGGGAAGUUGGUCAAACUUGAUCAUUUAGAGGAAGUAAAAGUCGUAACAAGGUUUCCGUAGGUGAACCUGCGGAAGGAUCAUUACCGAUACGAAUCCAAAAGGUUAAAACAUUAACCUUUGUGAACUGUACACAACCUUUAGGGGUCGGUCUCUGUGCCGUUAAAUGUGUCGUUCGUCCGUUGAUUCGGCGUUCGACCAGCCCCGCCUUCUGCCAUGGUGGACGCACUUGAAUGUACCAGUCUGAAAGUGAAACGAACUUGCUGCCUGUCCUGCCAGGUAGUAGAGCAAAAGUGGCAAAAGAAAAAGAGAGACAACUUUUAACGGUGGAUCUCUUGGCUCACGUAUCGAUGAAGAACGCAGCCAGCUGCGAUAAGUAGUGUGAAUUGCAGAAUUCAGUGAAUCAUUGAAUCUUUGAACGCAAAUGGCGCUCUUGGGUUCUCCCAGGAGCAUGUCUGUCUGAGUGUCGGAUAUUAUCUAACGCACUUGAGUGUGCGGAAUUGAGGCGUCACGGUGUAAGCUCGCCGUGUCCCUUGAAGGAAAGCGUGCUCGACUCGCAUCGCGCGGUUUCAAACCCGCACUCCACAUGCGAAGGCUAAAACUACUUUGUCCUUCGUCGGGGUGCGGGUCCGCAAAAAGGGCGAGUCGGCCGUCAAAGGUGCGACGCAA